CACACGAGAGAUUGUGAAAGAGAUUCAAGAGCUUUCAAAGAGAGGAUCUUUCAAGCCUAUUGUUCAACCUUGAUCUAGAGAUCUUCCAAAGCUUUAAAGAGAUCUUCAAUCAACAAUCAACCUCUUCUCAAGCAUUCGUUCAAGUGUUCAUCCACUUUGAGAAAAUCCGAAAAGGGUUUCUUCAUUUGAGUAAAGUUUUUAUUGUUAUAUUUGCUCAUUUAAAGGAGCUGUUAUUGUAUUAAUCUGUGCGCAAAAUUUUUCUAACUCUUUGUGAGUUUUUGUUCUUGUUUUUGGAGGAUUUCCAAAACAAGGAAAGGUUGAUCCGAACCUGAAAUCGGAGUGUUUUGGGUUUACUUGUACCCGGGAAACAAGUGAUCUAGCUUGGGAUAGCUAGUGUCGGAGUUUUCGAUGUUUUGUAUUCGGGUUGAAUACAAAGUAUAGUGGAUUGAAAUUCCCAAGUAGGAUCUUGGGGAGUGGAUGUAGGUGCAAGGUUAGCACCGAACUACUAUAAAUCCUUGUGUUUGUGGUGUGCUUUAUCACUUCACUUUAUUUCUUUAUUAUAUUCUUGCAUUCCUGCUUUAGGUAAUUAAUAUUGAAUUAAAGUCUUUGUUUUGUUCUUCA
rnacentral:lncRNA from 1 species